rnacentral:rRNA from 1 species
CGCGGCCUAUCAGCUUGUUGGUGAGGUAACGGCUCACCAAGGCAUCGACGGGUAGCUGGUCUGAGAGGACGAUCAGCCACACUGGGACUGAGACACGGCCCAGACUCCUACGGGAGGCAGCAGUAGGGAACCUUGCGCAAUGGGCGAAAGCCUGACGCAGCAACGCCGCGUGGGGGAUGAAUGCCUUCGGGUUGUAAACCCCUUUCAGCAGGGACGAAAAUGACGGUACCUGCAGAAGAAGCUCCGGCCAACUACGUGCCAGCCGCCGCGGUAAUACGUAGGGAGCGAGCGUUGUCCGGAAUUAUUGGGCGUAAAGAGCCCGUAGGCGGUUCAGUAAGUCGGGUGUGAAAACUCAAGGCUCAACCUUGGGACGCCACUCGAUACUGCUGUGACUUGAGUCCGGUAGAGGAGUGUGGAAUUCCUGGUGUAGCGGUGAAAUGCGCAGAUAUCAGGAGGAACACCAGCGGCGAAGGCGGCACUCUGGGCCGGUACUGACGCUGAGGAGCGAAAGCAUGGGGAGCAAACAGGAUUAGAUACCCUGGUAGUCCAUGCCGUAAACGUUGGGCACUAGGUAUGGGAUCAUAUCAACGGAUUCCGUGCCGUAGCUAACGCAUUAAGUGCCCCGCCUGGGGAGUACGG